CGAACGCUGGCGGCGUGCCUAAUACAUGCAAGUCGAGCGCGGGAAGCGGACAAUCACCCGUUCGGGGUGUGCGUCCGUGGAACGAGCGGCGGAUGGGUGAGUAUCACGUGGGCAACCUGCCUGUAAGAUUGGGAUAACUCGCGGAAACGUGAGCUAAUACCGAAUGAAGUCUUUCGCCGCCUGGUGAAAGGAUGAAAGAUGGCUCUUGAGCUAUCACUUACAGAUGGGCCCGCGGCGCAUUAGCUAGUUGGUGGGGUAAGGGCCUACCAAGGCGACGAUGCGUAGCCGACCUGAGAGGGUGAUCGGCCACACUGGGACUGAGACACGGCCCAGACUCCUACGGGAGGCAGCAGUAGGGAAUCUUCCGCAAUGGACGAAAGUCUGACGGAGCAACGCCGCGUGAGUGAUGAAGGUCUUCGGAUCGUAAAACUCUGUUGUCAGGGAAGAACAAGUUGUGUUCUAACAGGACAUGACCUUGACGGUACCUGACCAGAAAGCCCCGGCUAACUACGUGCCAGCAGCCGC
rnacentral:rRNA from 1 species